UGGGGAAUUUUGCGCAAUGGGCGAAAGCCUGACGCAGCAACGCCGCGUGUGUGAUGAAGGUCUUUGGAUUGUAAAGCACUUUCGACCGGGACGAAACCUUUCAAUUUAAUACAUUGAAAGCUGACGGUACCGGGAGAAGAAGCACCGGCUAACUCUGUGCCAGCAGCCGCGGUAAUACAGAGGGUGCAAGCGUUGUUCGGAAUUAUUGGGCGUAAAGCGCGUGUAGGCGGCUGUGCAAGUCGGGUGUGAAAGCCCUCAGCUCAACUGAGGAAGUGCGCCCGAAACUGCAUAGCUUGAGUACCGGAGAGGAUGGCGGAAUUCCCCAAGUAGAGGUGAAAUUCGUAGAUAUGGGGAGGAACACCGGUGGCGAAGGCGGCCAUCUGGACGGUAACUGACGCUGAGACGCGAAAGCGUGGGUAGCAAACAGGAUUAGAUACCCUGGUAGUCCACGCCGUAAACGAUGAGAACUAGGUGUCGUGGGUGUUGACCCCCG
rnacentral:rRNA from 1 species